rnacentral:rRNA from 1 species
CGGACGGGUGAGUAACACGUGGAUAACCUACCUAUAAGACUGGGAUAACUUCGGGAAACCGGAGUUAAUACCGGAUAAUAUUUUGAACCGCAUGGUUCAAAAGUGAAAGACGGUCUUACUGUCACUUAUAGAUGGAUCCGCGCUGCAUUAGCUAGUUGGUAAGGUAACGGCUUACCAAGGCAACGAUGCAUAGCCGACCUGAGAGGGUGAUCGGCCACACUGGAACUGAGACACGGUCCAG